ACCAAAAUUGACAGUCAACCCCUUUAGGAGUUAUUGCCCUUUAUAGUCAAUUUUUAACAACUUUUCGUCAUUUUUUGUAACUUGUACAAAAAUUUUCUCCUCUGAAACUACUGGGCCAAAUUUAACCAAACUUGGCCACAAUUAUCAUUGUGGUAUAUAGUUUAAAAAAUGUGUAUGAUGACCCCGCCUACCAAACAAAAUGGCUGACAUGGCUAAAAUUAGAACAUAGUGGUGAAAAGCAGUUUUUGCUUUAUAUCUUUGAAACUAAGAUAUUUAGGGCAAAUCUUUCAAGAUUUAAAUGUCCAUCAGAAUAAGAUCUUUCCCCUC
rnacentral:lncRNA from 1 species